AGAGUUUGAUUAUGGCUCAGGAUGAACGCUGGCGGCGUGCUUAACACAUGCAAGUCGAACGGAGUUUUAACGGAAGUUUCGGAUGGAAGUUUAGAAACUUAGUGGCGGACGGGUGAGUAACGCGUGGGUAACCUGCCUCAUACAGGGGGAUAACAGUUAGAAAUGACUGCUAACACCGCAUAAUAUAGCGAAACCGCAUGAUUUUGCUAUCAAAUAUUUAUAGGUAUGAGAUGGGCCCGCGUCUGAUUAGCUAGUUGGUGGGGUAAAAGCCUACCAAGGCGACGAUCAGUAGCCGGCUUGAGAGAGUGACCGGCCACAUUGGGACUGAGACACGGCCCAAACUCCUACGGGAGGCAGCAGUGGGGAAUAUUGGACAAUGGGGGAAACCCUGAUCCAGCGACGCCCGCGUGAGUGAAGAAGUAUUUCGGUAUGUAAAGCUCUAUCAGCAGGGAAGAUAAUGACAGUACCUGACUAAGAAGCCCCGGCUAACUACGUGCCAGCAGCAGC
rnacentral:rRNA from 1 species